CAGCAGGCCAGCAGCAAUUUCAGCAAAUUGCAAAUCAUUGUUGGCUGACUGCAGCAGUAGUAGCACGGGUUCGACGAGCCAAACCCAAUGCAUAUAGUUGGCCACGAAUGUUUGAUCUUGAACAGAACUUACAACAUCAAUCAGCAUGUUUCAAUCAAAAUUGUACAGAUGGCAAGUCAAUUUGAGUAACGUUAUCGUGUAUUCCACGUAAUUACGCAGUUUUACGUUAUCAAGCAAUGACAUCACAAAGUCAUUUAGCAACAAAUCAACCUGCCUCUAGCAACUUCCCCUGAAAAUUAGUUGGCAACACUGGUCCAGAGCACGAGUGGUAUACAGCCCUACAGCUAAGUGGCUUGUGGGGCAGGUUCAGUCUGUUCAGCACCGUUGAUGUACUGGCUCAGCUCAUAACUACUGGAGGACAGGCCUGACGCCUUGAAACUUGCCAGAGUCCCAGGAGCAUAACAGGUCUGGAGGACAAGACCAGCCAAACCAAGAUAGGAGAAUGAGUGCGGAUGGAGAACAUCAUACAACCAAGUUCCUAAAAUAAGUAUUAAACAGAGUGGGCAAACAGCAACACAGAUCUGUACAAUAUCUUUGUCAGAAGAAAUUCAUAUAAUUUAUUGAUCAUAAUAUUUAAAUGUUUACCUCUGUACCAGCCUCCCCAUUAUCUCUAGAACGACCUUAGCUUGUUUGAUUGCCUUGCGGAAGGAAUAGCUACACUGUUUGUAUUCGGUCAUGUUUCCGGUCAUACAGCUUCCUCAAUUGAGUUCCCUGAAUUCCUAUCGGACCUUGUAAUAGCAGAUAAUAUUCACAUUUUUGGUGACUUUAAUAUUCAUAUGGAAAAGUCCACAGACCCACUGCAAAAGGCUUUCGGAGCCAUCAUCGACUCAGUGGCUUUUGUCCAACAUGUCUCUGGACCUACUCAC
ensembl:lncRNA